AUCGGUCGGGUGACGAUCUCCUCCUCCCAACGUCCCCGACAGGAUUGGCAGCCCCUCCUCCUCCCAGGUUGCCAAUCGACAUCAGCAACGCCCGCCGGAUCUCCUCCCCCGGCGGGCGUUGUUU
rnacentral:sRNA from 1 species